CCUGGUAGCUCAGUGGUAAAGAAUCUGCCUGCUAUGCAGGAGACCCAGGUUCCAUCCCUGGGUCAGGA
rnacentral:tRNA from 1 species